UACAGAGGGAGCAAGCGUUGUUCGGAAUUAUUGGGCGUAAAGCGCGUGUAGGCGGCUUUGCAAGUCGGGUGUGAAAGCCCUCAGCACAACUGAGGAAGUGCGCCCGAAACUGCAGAGCUUGAGUGCCGGAGAGGGUGGCGGAAUUCCCCAAGUAGAGGUGAAAUUCGUAGAUAUGGGGAGGAACACCGGUGGCGAAGGUGGCCACCUGGACGGCAAUUGACGCUGAGACGCGAAAGCGUGGGGAGCAAACAGG
rnacentral:rRNA from 1 species